rnacentral:pre_miRNA from 1 species
AAUAGUUUUACACCACAUCAGUACUUUUAUCCUGAAUUUCAGAAUUUUAUCCUGAAAAAACUCAAAUCCAAAUUAAAAUUUUGAAAUUCAAGAUAAGAAUACUGACGUGGCAUAAAACUAUU